UUGAGUUGUCUAGCAUUGUUUAUAAAUUAAUGAUUAACCGUCCCACAAAAUAAAAUGCAAUUGGAAGCACGUAAACCCAGACGUCGCCGGAAAUUAAAUGAAAAAAAGGAAAUAGACAAAGAAAAAAGGGGCAUAUAUUUAAUAAUAAAUUAUAAAUGUUUUAAAUACAGUAUAUCACUCCGGUUCUCGCUUUUAUUGUUUUAGCACAGGAAGCAACAACAUACAACAGAGGCAUCAUCGUCAUCAUCAGCAAACAAAAAACAAAUAUAAAAAAAAAAUAAAGAGCUAAAAAAGAGUCAAAGCCCGAGACUCUUCUUCUUUCGGUUUUCGAUAACCCUAAUUUAAUUUUCUGAAUCCAAAAUUUUCCUUCUCUCGUCGCUCGCUCGCCCGCCCGCUCGGUCGCUCGCGAAAUCCAAAUCUUUCCUUCUGUUCCCAUUCUAUCCUUAACUUAUUUUGUAAUUUACGAUUUUGCCAUCAAAACCCUAGCUUUACUGGUAUGUCCAAAAAACCUCACCUUGAGUAUCUGCAAUAGCUAACUUGACCCUGGAAAUUGGAGCUAUGCAUAAACCCUAAUUUUGAUUUAUGUUCAGUUUAGGUUGUUUUUCGUUAUAGAUUUUUUGAUUUAGUCUUUGAAUUCGUGGUUAGCAAGUCAAAUUAUAUUGCUGCAGUUCGGAAUUUGUGUGAUUCACUUUGAUUAUUGUGCUUUUUGUGGACGUGGUGUUGUUUGUUCUGCUUUUGAUUGAUUUUUCUGUUUCGCUUUGGUUUUUAACUGAUCCUGGAUUUCGGUUAGGAAUUUUAGGAGGGAAAAAAUUCGAAUUUUGAAUAUUUUUUAUUGAUUUAGGAUUUGUACUUGCAGAUCAAAGCGUUUUGAUUAAUCUGUUUCUGUUUUUCUUUCUGGCUGAUGAUUUUGGGUAUGUAUUUGUAACUUCUUAGUGGUUACAUCUUUGAAAUGCUAGCUUUUAAUUAUUUUUCCCAUUUGAAAUUGUUUUUAUUUGAAAUUAUAGAGUAAGAAUUUAUUCCAAAUUUUGAUAUUUAUGGCCUCACCAUUUUAUUUUUGAUUGGAUAUUUCUUGUAGAUGGGCAGCAACUCCUAAUUAUUGGUUAUGUUCAACUCCCAUUUUAGUUAGGGCUUGCACCCUUUACUUGGUGUGCAUUGUUAAUGCUGCUGCUCCAAACUUUUGGGUUGUGUCAAUUGAAUGGUGCAAAGUUCCACAAAUACCUGGUUUUGAUGUGUCUGCAAUUUAGAGUUAACAGUUUUGACCUAUCCUCCAAAUAUCCUGUGAAAUUCCAUCUUGGAUUUAGAUUUGACCUAUCCUCCAAAUAUCCAGUGAAAUUCCAUCUUGAAUUUAGAUUUGACCUAUCCUCCAAAUAUUCUGUGAAAUUACAUCUUGGAUUUAGAACUAUUAUGCAGUAUAUUAUAUCAAUAGGGUGUAUAUAAGAACGUUUUUGGUUUCAAUUUGCAAAUUUGGAAUAUGCUCUCUUGGUUAUUUAUGUAAUUGUCUGUCGUUUAGUUAAGCUUCCCCUGUUUGACUUUUUCUUUUAAAAUAUAUGCACGUGC
rnacentral:lncRNA from 1 species